GACAGAGGAUGCAAGCGUUAUCCGGAAUGAUUGGGCGUAAAGUGUCUGUAGGUGGCUUUUUAAGUCCUCCGUCAGAUCCCAGGGCUCAACCCCGGACAGGCGGUGGAAACUGACAAGCUGGAGUACGGUAGGGGCAGAGGGAAUUUCCGGUGGAGCGGUGAAAUGCGUAGAGAUCGGGAAGAACACCAGCGGCGAAAGCGCUCUGCUGGGCCGACACUGACACUGAGAGACGAAAGCUAGGGGAGCGAAUGGG
rnacentral:rRNA from 1 species